rnacentral:rRNA from 1 species
CUUGCAAACUGGAGAUGGCGACCGGCGCACGGGUGAGUAACACGUAUCCAACCUGCCGAUAACUCGGGGAUAGCCUUUCGAAAGAAAGAUUAAUACCCGAUGGCAUAAUAGAACCGCAUGGUUUGAUUAUUAAAGAAUUUCGGUUAUCGAUGGGGAUGCGUUCCAUUAGGCAGUUGGUGGGGUAACGGCCCACCAAACCUUCGAUGGAUAGGGGUUCUGAGAGGAAGGUCCCCCCACAUUGGAACUGAGACACGGUCCAAACUCCUACGGGAGGCAGCAUG